CAGAUCAUGUACUCCUCCUCAUUGUCUAUACCAAGGCAUGGAAAAAGACGUUCAAGUGAUAACUCACAAAAAAAAGUACAUUGAAGGCACAGCGGCAAGGCUGCCCAGAAUGUGGCUGAUGCCGAAGGCGACGCCCCCUUUGUAAAGAGUGGUAGCUGAGGCACACAAGAAAGACACCAGUACAAUGCAAUUACCAAAACGAUAAUUUUAUGAUGAAAAAAUAUGUUUCAGUUCUUGUUUGAAAAGCUUGAAAUACUAUCUUG